rnacentral:lncRNA from 1 species
GAUAUCUAAAUGUGGACUGCCUGAGGAGGAGAAUAUUCCCCUCAUCAUUAUUUCAGGAUUGCAUAAGUAGAAAAUGGUGACAGCUAUGUACAGAUCAUGGUAUGUAGAGAUACAGCCACAACCUGAAGGGGCUCAUCCCCUCUCUAUUUUAUAUGAUCUCCUCUAUCCUGAUAAUUACUCCUCUGCCUCCUGCUGAAGAUUAUAUGAAGCACAUUCUUCUCUAAAGUCACAGGACUCCAGGAGUUCAUGUCACCCAGACUGGCAAAAAUAAUGGACAAAUGAGAGGAAGAUGGAACCAAAUAAUGGAAACCAAGGUUACUUCCUAACUUCCACAUGUGAACAGAUAGUAGGCACCAAAGACAUGUCCAAACAUACGUAGAGUAACAUACACACAGGACCCACAAAGGACAAUAUAUUUAUAUGUGAUGAGAAACAAGAACAACAAUGGAUCCCAGGAUUUAUUAAAGAGAAAGACCAGCGCUUCAGAAUCUGGGAGUUGCAGG